UACGUAGGGUGCAAGCGUUGUCCGGAAUUAUUGGGCGUAAAGAGCUCGUAGGCGGUUUGUUGCGUCGGCUGUGAAAUCCCGAGGCUCAACCUCGGGUCUGCAGUCGAUACGAGCAAACUAGAGUGUUGCAGGGGAGACUGGAAUUCCUGGUGUAGCGGUGAAAUGCGCAGAUAUCAGGAGGAACACCGGUGGCGAAGGCGGGUUGCUGGGCCGACACUGACGCUGAUGCGCGAAAGCCAGGGGAGCGAACGGG
rnacentral:rRNA from 1 species